AUGAGAUCUCAUACAAUGCUUGGAUUGCUCAUAACGUUGGCACUUUGGUGCCCUGUGAUCACCAACAACACCCGGGGCACAGCUGCUGCGUGCAUCACCGUUGAGAGGGAUGCACUGGCUACAUUCAACGCCAGCAUCACUGAUCCUGGUGGGAGGUUACGCUCAUGGCAAGGGGUAAACUGCUGCAGCUCGGGCGGUGUGAGCUGCAGCAAGAAGACCGGCCAUUUCGUCAAGCUGGACCUUGGUGCUUACUCCCUCAAAGGCGAGAUCAGUCCAUCUUUGGCCACUUUGAACAGAUUGGUGCACCUCAACCUGAGCCAUAGUGACUUCGAUGGGGUGCCCAUCCCGGAAUUCGUAGGUUCCUUCAAGAUGUUGAGAUAUCUUGAUCCGUCGCAUGCCGGUUUUGGCGGAACAGCUCCUGCUCAACUUGGUAAUUUGUCGAGACUCGUCUAUCUUGAUCUGGGUUCGUUCGGAGGUCCUGGGAUCACUGCAGAUAACUUCCAUUGGGUUUCCAAGCUGACUUCCCUGAGGUAUCUGGACCUCAGUUGGUCCUACCUUGCUGCUUCUGUGGAUUGGUUGCAGGCAGUGAACAUGCUCCCGUCACUCCAAGUGCUUCACCUCAACGAUGCUAGUCUUCCUGCCACCGACCUCACUUCUCUUUCUCAAGUCAACUUCACUUCCCUUAAGCUGCUUAAUCUGAAGAGUAACGAUCUGAAUUCCUCCAUGCCGAAUUGGAUUGACAAGCUAUCUGCCCUCUCAGAGUUGGACAUGACUAGCUGUGGGCUUUCAGGGAUGAUUCCUGAUGAUCUUGGCAAACUGACCUCACUUAAGUUCAUAUUACUAGGGGACAACAAGUUGACUGGAGUGAUACCAACAUCAGCUAAUAGAUUGUGCAACUUGGUUCAAAUCAGUUUGUCCGGGAACACCUUGUCAGAAGAUAUUGCGGAAGCAGGCAAGAGCAUGUCUCCCUCUAUGAAGCGGUUGCAGGUCCUUGAACUUUCGGGUAACAAGUUAACUGGAAACCUAUCUGGUUGGCUUGAGGGCAUGUCAGGAUUAAGAAUCCUUGAUCUCAGCGCGAACUCAGUGUCUGGAGUUGUGCCAUAUGGUAUUGGUAACCUAUCAAGCUUGACAUACCUGGAUAUUUCCUUUAAUAGAUUGAAAGGCACACUAUCGGAACUCCACUUUGCCAAUUUGUCAAGAUUGGAUACUUUAGAUUUAGCAUCAAAUUCAUUCAAGAUUGUCGUCAAACAAAGCUGGCUGCCACCUUUUCAGCUCAGAAAUCUCGGACUGCAAGAUUGCCUUGUAGGGCCAGAGUUUCCAACUUGGCUGCAAUCACAAACUAGAAUCGAGACGAUUGAUCUAGGCAGUGCAGGCAUCAGGGAUUCAUUACCUGACUGGAUCUGGAACUUCUCCUCGUCCAUCACUAGCUUAAAUGUCUCUACAAACCACAUAACUGGUAGGUUGCCUGCAAGCUUGGAGCAAUUGAAAAUACUGAAAACCCUGGCUAUGAGGAGUAAUAAGCUUGAGGGGAAAAUUCCAGAUUUGCCUAUUAGCAUCUGAGUGUUGGACCUAUCCCGCAACAACUUAUCAGGAUCACUGUCACAUAGCUUUCGAGACAAAGAACUUCAUUACCUAUCGUUGUCAGGAAAUUUCAUUAGUGGAGUAAUCCCAGCAGAUUUUUGCAACAUGACAUCAAUGGAACUGAUUGACCUAUCUGAUAGCAACCUUUCAGGAGAGCUUCCCAAUUGUUGGCUUAAGGAAUCGGAACUUUAUGUCAUAGAUUUUUCAAGCAAUAACUUGUGGGGAGAAAUACCAUCUACCCUGGGUUCUCUAAAUUCCCUCAUGUCACUGCAUCUUAGCAAGAAUAGCUUAUCCGGAGUAUUGCCCACCUCAUUGCAGUCAUGCCAAACGUUGAUGUUCCUUGAUCUUGCAGAAAAUAAUUUGUCAGGAAACAUACCAAAAUGGAUAGGUGAGAGUCUAAAGUCUCUGAUACUUGUGAGUUUAGGGUCCAACCAGUUUUCUGGUAAAAUACCUGAAGAAUUGUCCCAACUUCCUGCUGUGCAAUAUUUGGAUCUUCAUAACAACAAACUAUCUGGCCCAGUACCACCUUUCCUGGGAAAUUUAACAGCCUUACACUUGCGCAAUCUUUACCAGAUAACAUCGUCUUCCGUUCAGUUCAAGGUUUAUGGUCUCGAGGGUGCUUACUUUUCUGUGUACACAGAUGCCUUGGAGGCAACGUGGAAAGGUCAAGUUAUUGUUUUUGAGAGAACACUAUUCCUGCUUACCGGAAUUAAUCUCUCCGCAAACCAGUUAACUGGUGAGAUUCCAAGUGAAAUAGUAUCUCUAUCUACAUUACGGUUAUUGAAUCUGUCAAAGAACCACAUUGGAGGAAGUAUCCCUGCUGAACUGGGGAAUUUGGUCGAUUUAGAGUCACUCGAUCUCUCAUGGAAUGAACUAUCAGGUCCAGUUCCUCACAGCUUGGCGUCAGUACCAUAUUUGUCCUACCUGAAUUUGUCCUACAAUGAUCUCUCAGGGCAGAUACCGUAUGGAAAUCAAUUGAGCACUUUUGAUAAUCUCAGCUACUUGGGAAACGAAAAUCUUUGCGGGCCUCCACUUUCCAGAAUCUGUGUACCCGAGAGUAACAGACACCAAAACCAUAAACUUCAACUCAGAUUUGACACGCUGACAUGUCUAUUUACACUGCUCGGGUUUGCGUUCGGAAUCUCCACUGUAUUCACCACCUUCAUAUGCAGCGCGGUCGCAAGGAAGGCUUACUUUCGGUUCACCGACAGGGCACUGAGCAAGCUGUGGUGCACUGCAGUGGAGAUGAAGCUUAGCAUCAACAGGAUGAUGCCAGCAGGAAGAGACCCCUCCAUGGCGACACGGAGUCAGGACACCAUCACUUGCUACGAGCUGGAACAACCUUCUGCCGCUAGUAUGUAAUAAGGCGCCUUGUAAUAUCAUAUGAAUGGACCAGCCAUAUGUUAUUUCCUUAGAAUAACCAGCUGAACUCCCUUGCCCCGCUGGAUAUUAUUGUACAAUCCACUUGGACCUCUUUAUAGUUCCUACUAGAGAUGA